rnacentral:tRNA from 1 species
ACAGUGGUUGUUCAGUGGUAGAAUUCUUGCCUUCCAGGCAGGGGACUGGGGUUCAAUUCUCGGCCAAUGCA